UCUCUGGCUUCUAACUCUGGCUGAGAAAAUUCCCAGACUCCAGGCUGGACCUUAUGCCUCGGGCUGGUGGUCUUGGGAACUGGGAGCGCCUGGGAAAUCAGAUCUGAGUUGAGAGGGUCCCCCCCCUUUCCACGUACCCCAUGGUUCCCCUGCGGUUUUGGAGAUAGUUAACCACAAGCAAGGGUUUAGAGAUUCUGGGCAGGCCCUUCUACCCGUGGGCCUGUGUCAGUGAGUGGGAUAAGGGGAAGGGACUCAGGACACUUGAUCCCAUGGAGAAGAAGCUCGGUGGCUUUCAGGGCAGGGAUUCUGCCUUUAUUCUGCCUCUUACCCGAGUGACUCAGGUCCUGUAUGUCCCCUAUCAGAUGUUUGAUGAGAGUUCACUCUCCUGUCCCACUACAAUGAACCCCAGUCCUUACAGAGUACAUGCUUACAGUGAGCUGUGUACCAGUACAUGAGACCCUGAAGCAUGGAGCUGUCACAGUUGCAUGAACGAGCUAGACCUCAGUUUAUUCAUCUCUUACAUGAGGAUACUACUUCACAGGAUUGACAAGAAGAUCAAAUUAAAUAAAUAAAACAAGAAUAAGUCUA